CUUGCUCUUGCGUCCUCUUCGCUUCUAUUUUAGAGUCUAGUGCCAGCACAUACCCAGACUGUGUGAUCCCAUUUCUCUUUGGAAUGAACAUGGAAAACAACUAGGUUUCCAGAGACGGCUUCAUAUUCUUGAUUAAUAUUUUGCCAUGUUUUAUGAAUUUCCAAUUUUUUUUCUGGACUUCAUAUAAUUGGCAUUUAAAUGAGACUCCAGAACUGAACCUUGCUCUCUCCUUGGACUCAACUGACCUCUGAAGGUUUUCAACAGCUUUGGACGAGUCACUCAGAGGACUCUAGUGAUCGUGAUUAAAUGUUGACAGAUGUGGGAAAGAAUGUCAGGGCUUAGCAUUUUCAGGGAAAACGAAGCUAUUUUCUAACAUGGCUGCACUUCGUACAGUAGAGUCCUAGCUGUGUUACCAGCACACAUAGCUCAAAGCCAGCAGCAUCACUGCCACCAGCAUUGGGCCAGCGCUUCAAUCUCUCCUCUCCAUCAUCAGUUAUCACCUGCCUCCUUUGUGAUGACCUUUCUCCUGGGCGUCAAAUAGAACAUCGUUUUGGUUACAUUUGCAUUUCUCUAAUGACUUACAAAGUUACAUAUCUUUCCCUAUAUUUAUUAGCCACGAUAUGGUUUUAUUUAAUGUUUUCUUUUUGUAUUCUAAUCCUUUACCUAUUUUUUAAAUAAGUUAUCUUUUUAUUGUUGAAAGGAAAGAGCCGUUAUAUUUAUACGUGCUUUAGCAGAUAUAAAAGGACUUUAGCAGAUAUAUAAUUUACAAUUAUGACUUCAAAAGUGUGGGCUUCUUAUCCAAGUUUUCCAUAGAUUGGUAUGAAAUCAUUUACAACGCCUUGUAAAUCCAGUAAUGAUCUGCUUCCUUUCUUGCCCGGCACUCAUAAUCUGUAUUUCCUUUUUCUUUCCUGACCAGUCUUAAAAAUGCUAAUGUGAAUCAAGCUAAUAAUGGCGAUUAAACCCUCAUAAUUUUUAAAGUCCAGCCAUCCAGCCCAUCAUGAUUAUGUGCAGCUAUGAUUUUGUGCAUGGGCAGGGACGAGACAACUUAAAAGAUAGCAUCUUGCCAAUUCUUUUUAACGUUUUUGUUUUGUUGGGGUUUAUUCCAGACAGGGUUUCUCUGUGCAGCCCCGACUGUCCUUGAACUUGCUUUGUAGACCAGGCUGGCCUCAAACCCAGAGAUCGACCUUCUCCUGCCUCUUGCAGGAAUCAGAGGUAUGUGACACCACUGCCCGGCCCACUUUGACAAUUUAAUGAGUAGCAUGCCGUUAACCGCUGUCACCAUGAUGGGCAUUAGAGCUUAGAGCUUACAUUUGUGGCUAAACGUUUGUACUCUGUGAGCAACAUCUUCCCACUUCUCCAACUUCUAGAACUAAAGCCACUACUUCCGGUGUGUAUGACUUUGCCUCUUCACUCCAGACCUCAGCGAGACCAUACGCUAGUUGUCCUCUUUGAACUGUAUUUCACCCUCGCAUCCUCCAAUUUCAUCCACAUACGGGGUUCCCUUGGAUUGCUGAAUAAUAGUUCACACAUAUAUACAUACCCCAUUUUGUUUACCCAUUAAUCCUGGAAGUGAUUCUUAACCAUGACAUGAAAAACGCAGACAACAGAAGGAGAAGUGGAGUGACACCAGAUCAAAAACCUCCUGUGCACUGAUCUUUCAAGCAAAGGAAGGCCCUCUGGUUACAGGUGCCUGUCUUGAAGGGUUGAAAAGUCAUCCUGGAUGCAGGUAUAAAUUCUACGAGCCCUAGCUGGAGAGAAGCCACUCGGACGUGUCACCUGAGGGAGGAGGCAACGAGGCUUGAUUUGUUGCAUCUCACACUUGACAGUCACAAGCGCUGACACCCACGUUCAUCUCGGAAGUCCUCUAAACUAGCAUGUAUUAAGUGAACCUUUCUUACAACCUGGAAUAAAUCCUUGUUUGUUGUCA